GACGUAGGGCGCGAGCGUUGUCCGGAUUUAUUGGGCGUAAAGAGCUCGUAGGCGGCUUGUUACGUCGACUGUGAAAACCCGCGGCUCAACCGCGGGCCUGCAGUCGAUACGGGCAGACUGGAGGUAUGCAGGGGAGAACGGAAUUCCUGGUGUAGCGGUGAAAUGCGCAGAUAUCAGGAGGAACACCGGUGGCGGAGGCGGUUCUCUGGGCAUGUCCUGACGCUGAGGAGCGAAAGUGUGGGGAGCGAACAGG
rnacentral:rRNA from 1 species